rnacentral:rRNA from 1 species
GCAGCCAUCAUUUAAAGAAAGCGUAAUAGCUCACUGGUCGAGUCGGCCUGCGCGGAAGAUGUAACGGGGCUAAACCAUGCACCGAAGCUGCGGCAGCGACACUUAUGUGUUGUUGGGUAGGGGAGCGUUCUGUAAGCCGUUGAAGGUGUGCUGUGAGGCAUGCUGGAGGUAUCAGAAGUGCGAAUGCUGACAUAAGUAACGAUAAA